rnacentral:rRNA from 1 species
UACGUAGGGUGCAAGCGUUAAUCGGAAUUACUGGGCGUAAAGCGUGCGCAGGCGGUUUUGUAAGUCUGUCGUGAAAUCCCCCGGGCUCAACCUGGGAAUUGCGAUGGAGACUGCAAGGCUAGAAUCUGGCAGAGGGGGGUAGAAUUCCACGUGUAGCAGUGAAAUGCGUAGAGAUGUGGAGGAACACCGAUGGCGAAGGCAGCCCCCUGGGUCGAAGAUUGAC